GACAGAGGUGCCGAGCGUUAGGCGGAAUCACUGGGCUUAAAGCGUGUGUAGGCGGAUCUGUAAGUACCUUGUGAAAUCCCACGGCUCAACCGUGGAACUGCUUGGUAUACUGCGGGUCUUGAGCCACCUAGGGGCAAGUGGAACAAACGGUGGAGCGGUGAAAUGCGUAGAUAUCGUUUGGAACGCCAAUGGUGAAAACAACUUGCUGGGGGGGUGUGCUGACGCCUGAGACACGAAAGCCAGGGGAGCAAACGGG
rnacentral:rRNA from 1 species